UUGGUCUAAAAGGCUGCUAUUCAUUCAGCAAAUGUUGUUGCCAGAGUUGCAUCGGGGUUGCUUCGUGGGUCAAUUUCAAUCGCGUUUACGUUGUUUCGUGUAUCAGCAAAGUUGCUUGAGAUCAUGACACUUGCUACUUACAUCUGCAACAGAAAUUGCUUCCAUGUUGCUUCGUUUUCUAAAUCCAGUGCCGUAACAUCGCGAGAUAUCCGGGAACACCGUCGAAAGAGAUCUGGCCGAGGUUUGGCGAUUGAGAGGUAUUUUAUAUCGAACAAGUGCCUUUGAUUUGACGGCCUCCACAUUCGCAGUUCGGCGCGAAACAACCGUUAAACCCGAUGACGUGUUUCUGUGCAUGAGCUUAGUUAGCCAAAGUCGGUCUGACAUCACCUUCAAGCGUGUGUAACAGGGUUGGUUAUGUUUCCACUUGCCUCUAAAGAAUUGUGUAUUUAAUGUUCAAUGGUUGGUUCAACUCUGAUGACAAUAAGGUGUGUUGUGAUUGGCCCAGUUUGCAGAUAGGGGGAGAUCCCGAACGUCUUCCCCGGAUGAAAAUGUGAUGCAAGGGGUAGGUCACGUUCUGAAUACUGUUUUCUAUUUUACAAUGUGUACAAGUUUGCUGUACAUUACUGAUUUAUACAUGUUUGGGUAUAUGGAACCUGUUAGGGAUUGAGGGUCUUUCUGGGAUGUGCUUUGGCAUAUGAUUGCUGUAAAUAAGUGUGUUAGCAGCAUACACAGAUGUAAUGGUCACAUAAGCCCACUGCUAACACAGUUGUCUUCAUGCUGCAGAUUUUGCCAUCGACAGCCAUCAAUAUCGUUAAGCCCUGCACAACUAACGUGCUGUUCCCCAUUUUAACAACAGCAACAGAAAUAAAUGAUGCUCAACUGGGACCACUGGCUGAUGUGAUUUAUUUGGAGGAAACACAACACAAGGAGAGUACGAUUUGUUACACGUGAUUGACUAAAACUGGUUCUCCAAUGGAAACCCCGUAUCUUCAUACUGUGGUCUUUGAUUGUAAGUCUGUCAACAGGGUUUAGCUACAUACAGUAUGAGGACACUGAGGUCUGGAUCUUAAUUUUUGGAAUAACAGAAACAAGUCAUCAGCCAGUCGUCCCCCAUUGAUUUUGUUGAUCACUCACUCAAUGUCUCAUCAAAAUGGCAUAAAUCAUGGCAAAAUGUAUAGACUUGCAGGAAAUAUGCUGUAAAUCUGCAAACAUUUUUUUUAAACCUAAUAGGCUAUGUGUUUGUAGACCGACUGAGGUGAAUGAAACUACAGCAACCAGUGUGUUAAUGGCUGGGGUAAUUUGGUUUGUGUGACAAAGUGAAAUUGUAGAGUUUACAUCAACCUCACUCUCACUGCGUGCAAUGUAAAUAUUGAAGAACACCGCUAUUCUCUGGCAGAAAGUGGGUGAAACCAUUCACUUCAGAAAAGGUGUGAUGUUAAUAACGUUUCCUUUCAUUAUGAGUGGUCGAAUUCAUAAAAAUAUGUACUGCCAUUGUAGUAAGGUUGGCAAAAUGAGAGGUCUUCACUUACCUGUUUUGUGUUAUUUUCCUUGAAAGAACAAGUAGUGGGUUUUGAGUGCUUCUCCUCUACUUGGAAAGUUGGUCUGCCUGCUCUUCAGUCUGAAAGCAGGUUCGUGUCUCAUUCCUCUGCAUGUAAAAACUGUUUAAAACAGUGUAACACAAUAGUGUCUUUUGAAAACCGUUCAAUAUAUCACAAAGUCAAUAUUCAAUGUGGCUAUGUAUAUAUUUAUGUUGUCGCUAAUGUAUUUAAAGCCUAUUUCGGCAAGUUAACCAAGUGUUUGUUGGCUUAGCUAGCCAUGUUAAUGAUGUGCUAACUUGCACUGUCAGUGAAUUGUAAUGUCACGUUAGCUAUUGCUGGCAUUUGAUUUAUUGGUAAUUCAAGACAUCUUUUUUUAUUUCUAUUACAUUUUUUUACCCCAUUUUCUCCCCAAAUUCAUGGUAUCCAAAUUUGGACACCAGUGUCCCAUCACGACAACUCCCGUACGGAGAGAGCCGUGCGACCGCCUUAACACAACCCAGUCGAGCCGCACUGCACUGCUUUUUGACACAAUGCCCACUUUAAUCAGAAGCCAGCUGCACCAAUGUGUUGGAGGAAACAUCGUACACCUGGCAACAGUGUCAGUGUGCAUUGCACCCGGCCCGCCACACGAGCCGCUUGAGCACGAUGGGACAAGAACAUCCCUGCCUUCCUAACCCGGACGAUGCUGGGCCAAUUGUGCACUGCCCCAUGGGUCUCCCGGACGCGGCCGGCAGCGACAGAGCCUGGAUCUCUAGUGACACAGCUAGUAUUGCGAUGCAGUGUCUUAGACUACUGCGCCACCCGGGAGAGGCCCAUUCAAGACUUCUUUAAUUCAAUAUUAAGUGAAUGUUAUUUUCUUACUACCUUAAAAGGUUUAUAUAAAACAGGUUGUACUUGUGCUAUGUAUUUAUGGAUUGAUGUCACUUCACAUUGAAGGCAUGUAUCAUUACUGUUGCUCCUAUAUAAAAUAUGUCCUACCUAACCAGUGAACUUGUGGAUGUGACCAUCAGGUCAAUCAAUGCCUGUCAUCGCUGUUUGAUACCUUUCACUGCAGGUAUGUCUUACUGUAUUUUUGUUAUUUUCUGAACAUAGCACAUAUUUACUAUUUGAUCACUUUGUGCAUUCAGUCUGAGAGAGAUGUUCUGUGAGAACCCAGUGAACUUGUGGCUGUGACCAUCCUGUCAAUGCCUGUCAUCACUGUUUGAUGUAUUUCACUGCAGAUGAAAACCAAGUUAACCUGAAGUGUGGGUGUCCAUGUACCUUUCUUCUGGGUGGCUAUAUGAAGUUGGUUACACUUGUUUUUGCUCUUCUCCAAAUUGUAUGUGAAAAUAAAACAUUGUGGAAUUCAUCGAUAAAGGAAAAGAAAACAGUGUGGCAUGUAAUCUUGCUCUUUCAAGUUUCAAAGUAGUUUUAUGAAUAAUUUAUAAUUGCAUACAAACAAAACAUACACAAACUCACCUUUUUAUAAACAUUUGUGUCACUUCUAGUCUAUUCUCUGAGCAGAUAAGGGAGUUGACCUUUGCCUAGGUCUAUAAAACGGACAGACU